UUUUCCUGCAAAAAAAAAAAAAGUGCAAUUAUUUAUUGUUAAUUGACGAAGAAAGCGGCUGGAGCAGAGGGGGUUGAUCUCGCGCCAUGGAGCUUAGUGGCCUGUAGGAACCUCGUGGAAGCGGCGGGGUGGAGGGUGCUUUGCGGGGAAGGGUACAGGACUCUGCAAAGGAGCACCCUUCUGGGGGCACUGGGGAUGUACCCCUCGGGCCACCCCAAGCACAUGAGCUUGGAUGUAAAAAGAAGCCAGAUAGGAGGAUUAAUUUGAUACUUCUGAAGUUUGGACUCUGUAUCCUUGGUCAGCACUACAACCUUCAUAAAAGAGUCUUUGUUCCUCCUGAAGAUUCGAGCUGAGGAUGUUGAAGUAUUAGACAAAGCGGUUCCUGUUCCCUCUGAAGUAGGCUCGUGAAGACUCAGCUUCUGAUGAGAAAGCUGGAUUCGGACUGCUCCAGGGUGGCUGCCCCAGGAUGGCAGAUGAUACAGAGCACUUCUGUACCUCUGCGUCUGUUACUUGGUCACAGGGACUAGUUUUGAACCAGCAGCACCAAACAAUCCAGAAGGGCUGUGUCUGGCAGGGUAUCUAGACCCAUGCCUGUUGCACAAGGGCAACACUGAGAAUUAGAGGAGAAAUCAGUACGUAUCCGUCCAGCAGCAUCUAGAAAGGAGGUCCAGGUCUUCACAGGCACAGUGCCUAUCACUUCCAUCCAAGGGUGACGUGUAGGGGAUGCGCACAGGUGCAUGUGCACCCCGAGUGUGGCAGUCCACUCCCUACAAAAAGAUGUCUGCGGCACCUGCAGGUGGUCACUGCUCACCACCCCACCACCAGCAGCAUCUGCAGGCGGUCCGCAAUCCCUGGAAACCCUUGGUUAGCGCUCAUCACCACCCCCCACAUUGCCAACAGCAUUGGCGGCAUCUGUGGGACCUCCCUGCUUACUGCUGCCAUGCUCCUACCACAGUCACACUCGCCCAGACACUGGGGCACAAAUCAUUCAUGCUUCCAUCUCCCCCAAAUGGGCACUUCCUUAUGCCCCCCACCCCAAAUGCCAUUUUGUGUUAAUAAACCUGAUGGCAGCCCUAAAUAGCAUUGCUUCACCUCCUGAUACCCUCUGAAUAUUUUGAGUGUAUUGCAUUCAUCUGUGUCUGAAAGUCUGAAGUAUAAAAGCUCUGGCUGAAAGAUACAAGUAUUAACAUGUAAACUCCUUUAAUCCUAAAGCAGAAGUCUGAGUUGGACAGCAUGGUACAAGUCGGACAUGGGAAGACAGGGGCUCUAAUACUGCAGCACCAACCCGACUUGAAAGUGGGUGCGCAGGGGAACUGCCCCAGUGAAACACGAAAAGCUAGAACCUGCUGGUCUAACUUAGGGGAGGAGGCUGGGAUGCCCCUGGCUUUUUCCUGUUUCUUUCAGACUACAUCAUAAUGCAUCAUCUCAUAAUAUUGUGCACUCUUCAUGUAGUGUUUGCAUGGACAUUAUCCAGUCCAUUCAGAUUCUAUAGUUUUAUUUUUCAUCUAAAAUGGAACAAAACUGUAAAAUGGCACUUUAAAAUAAGCAAAGCACAUUGAAAUCAAGUCCCAAGACAUUUCAUUAAAAUCAAGAGCAUCUUUAA